rnacentral:rRNA from 1 species
CCCUUAGACGUUCUGGGCCGCACGCGCGCUACACUGACCAGUGCAACAAGCAUCCGUCCUUGGCCGACAGGCCCGGGCAAUCUUUGAACGCUGGUCGUGAUGGGGAUAGACUUUUGCAAUUUUUGGUCUUCAACGAGGAAUUCCUAGUAAACGCAAGUCAUCAACUUGCAUUGAUUACGUCCCUGCUCUUUGUACACACCGCCCGUCGCACCUACCGAUUGAAUGGUCCGGUGAAGCCUCCGGAUUGGCGCGCACCUCGGUGCCGCCGAGAAGUUGGCUAAACCUUACCAUUUAGAGGAAGGUGAANUCGUAACA